GAUGAACGCUAGCGGCAGGCCUAAUACAUGCAAGUCGAGGGGCAGCGGGGUAGCAAUAUCGCCGGCGACCGGCGCACGGGUGCGUAACACGUAUGCAACCUACCUUCAACUGGGGGAUAGCCCGGGGAAACUCGGAUUAAUACCCCCAUAACACAGUGAGAUCACAUGUUCUUAUUGUUAAAGCUUCGGCGGUUAAAGAUGGGCAUGCGUUCGAUUAGCUAGUUGGUGUAGGUAACGGCUCACCAAGGCUACGAUCGAUAGGGGGUCUGAGAGGAUGAUCCCCACACUGGUACUGAGAUACGGACCAGACUCCUACGGGAGGCAGCAGUAGGGAAUAUUGGUCAAUGGGCGCAAGCCUGAACCAGCCAUGCCGCGUGCAGGAAGAAGGCCCUCUGGGUUGUAAACUGCUUUUGAUAGGGAACAAAUGCCACUUGCGAGUGGAGCUGAGUGUACCUAUAGAAUAAGCACCGGCUAACUCCGUGCCAGCAGCCGCGGUAAU
rnacentral:rRNA from 1 species